UACGUAGGGUGCAAGCGUUAAUCGGAAUUACUGGGCGUAAAGCGUGCGCAGGCGGUUAUGCAAGACAGAUGUGAAAUCCCCGGGCUCAACCUGGGAACUGCAUUUGUGACUGCAUAGCUAGAGUGCGGCAGAGGGAGAUGGAAUUCCGCGUGUAGCAGUGAAAUGCGUAGAUAUGCGGAGGAACACCGAUGGCGAAGGCAAUCUCCUGGGCCUUGACCUGACGCUGAGGGGCGAAAGCGUGGGGAGCGAACAGG
rnacentral:rRNA from 1 species